GGUCAUAGACUCUAAUUGUGGGUUCCAGAAUGGAAGUGCCACAAAUGCCUUGUUGUUAAGAAUCAGACAUUUAUUCUUCAUUCUUCCUCUCCCUGACAUGCCCUCACUAUAGUUGGUCUUCCAAACUUCAUCCUAUGGUGUUUUUUUUUUAGAAAACUCACCGUGGAGCCAUGCAGAUUUCUGCUAAAAUCCAGCCUCAUUCACUUUUAUUAGAUGUAAGAACCUGGGUUGUGGAAUUUGGGGGAGUCCAACCUGCUAUCAUUUUAAGAAGGAACAGAGAGGAAUUCAAAUGGACCAUAUGGAACAAAGGUAAAAACAAACUCAGUACAAAACCUCAACCUACUGAAGACAUGUCUUGGCUUUGAUACAGAAGUUACUUUUCCCCCGUGUCAAGGAAGUUUUAUCCCCUCCCCUUCCUGAGUAACUUUACCUGUCUAUCAAACAUUCCCGAAAUAGCAUAGUUGCACCAGGUUUGCAUCUGUGUACGUUCGGUACGUCAAUAAAAGUCAAGGCUUUGGGCUUCUAAGCGGGAGAAUCGAGAAUGAAUGGGAGAAGCCAGAAGAGAACGAAGGAGGAAGAAGUCCGGAAGUAGAGCAGGCAGGUGGAAGGAAGGAGGAAAGAGACUGGCAGGCUAGGAACCACGUGGUCAGGUUACUGAGGAAUGAUCGUCUACU